GAAAAAAAAAAAUCCACAACAAAUCCAUGAAACAGGGGAAGAUAUGUUAUUAGUAUUUCCUCCCCUACAAAACUACAGAUGUUAAUUAGGAAAUCAAGAUGGAGUAGUGGGAAAUAACAAGGGCCACACUUACCCUUCUUAAUAAGGAAAAGGGAAUGGUGGAGAAAAAGAAGAGAUAAGGCUUUUUCCCUUCACAUGAAAUGAAAGCUUCUUUAACUUG